GAUGGCAGUAGCUCUCGUGAUGAUUUGCCUUCUCAGAUCUCCAGGAGAAAAGAUCAGAUCCGUAGGCUGGAAGCCAAAUUAUCAGAUUAUGCAGAACAGGUCCGCAACCUGCAGAAGAUGAAAGAAAAACUUGAGCUUGCUUUAGAAAAACACCAGGAUUCGUCAUUACGAAAGUUUCAAGAGCAAAACGAGGCCCAUCAAGCACACCGAGCCAAGAUGGCCGAAGAACAUGCCCUGGCUCUUGAGAAGAAGGACCAGCUGUUGAAUAAAGA